rnacentral:rRNA from 1 species
GACGAACGCUGGCGGCGUGCUUAACACAUGCAAGUCGAACGGAAAGGCCCUGCUUUUGUGGGGUGCUCGAGUGGCGAACGGGUGAGUAACACGUGAGUAACCUGCCCUUGACUUUGGGAUAACUUCAGGAAACUGGGGCUAAUAACGGAUAGGAGCUCCUGCUGCAUGGUGGGGGUUGGAAAGUUUCGGCGGUUGGGGAUGGACUCGCGGCUUAUCAGCUUGUUGGUGGGGUAGUGGCUUACCAAGGCUUUGACGGGUAGCCGGCCUGAGAGGGUGACCGGGCACAGUGAGACUGAGAUAGGGCCCAGACUCCUACGGGAGGCAGCAGUGGGGAAGAUUGCACAAUGGGCGGGAGCCUGAUGCAGCAACGCCGCGUGCGGGAUGACGGCCUUCGGGUUGUAAACCGCUUUCGCCUGGGACGAAGCGUGAGUGACGGUAAUGGGUAAAGAAGCACCGGCUAACUACGUG